AACGAACGCUGGCGGCAGGCCUAACACAUGCAAGUCGAGCGAAGCCUUCGGGCUUAGCGGCGGACGGGUGAGUAACGCGUGGGAACGUGCCCUUUGGUACGGAAUAGCCCCGGGAAACUGGGAGUAAUACCGUAUGUGCCCUUCGGGGGAAAGAUUUAUCGCCAAAGGAUCGGCCCGCGUUGGAUUAGGUAGUUGGUGGGGUAAUGGCCUACCAAGCCGACGAUCCAUAGCUGGUUUGAGAGGAUGAUCAGCCACACUGGGACUGAGACACGGCCCAGACUCCUACGGGAGGCAGCAGUGGGGAAUCUUAGACAAUGGGGGAAACCCUGAUCUAGCCAUGCCGCGUGAUCGAUGAAGGCCUUAGGGUUGUAAAGAUCUUUCAGUGGGGAAGAUAAUGACUGUACCCACAGAAGAAGCCCCGGCUAACUCCGUGCCAGCCGCCGCAGUAAAAC
rnacentral:rRNA from 1 species